GCAAUGGUUAGUAGUUGUAGCACAAGGCCAUGUCAAGCCAACCAAAGGUGUUAUCAUAAAGGAGAUUCCCAUGAGUGUAGAGAUAGAACUUGUGAUAUUGGUCAGGAAAUACACAAGGGAAAUUGCUGGUAAACGAACAUAGCCUCGAGGAUAAGGCUUCAGUAAAAUGUGACGAUGGAUACAUUCCUAGUCAGCCUGAGGUGAAAUGUCAAGCGUCUGGAAAAUGGGAAGCCGCAACUUGUAACAGAUUGAGCGACUGUAAAGAAAUUCUUGAAAAAUUCCCGGAAGCAAAAAGUGGUUUGUAUGAGAUAGAAUUAUGGACGUCUAGGAAGAUAUUGAUAGUGAAUUGUGACAUGGAGACUGACGGCGGCGGCUGGACGAUGUUUCAAAGGCGCUUCGACGGGUCCGUCGAUUUUUAUCGAAAUUUCUCAGAGUAUGAAAAUGGGUUCGGAAACGCAGAAGGAGAACUGUGGCUAGGUAGAUCCAUAAUUUAUGGUUCACUUGAGUAUUUAUAUUUAAUAUUAGUGAGCAUAAAUUGUUAAAGUAAACGAUAUAUGUUAUUAAAUUGUAUAUGUGUUCAUUAAUUAUACCCGGACAUUUGUACU